rnacentral:rRNA from 1 species
UACAUGGGGUGCAAACGUUGCUCGGAAUUAUUGGGCGUAAAGCGCGCGUAGGCGGUUACUCAAGUCGGAUGUGAAAGCCCUCGGCUUAACUGAGGAAGUGCACCCGAAACUGAGUAGCUAGAGUACCAAAGAGGGUCGCGGAAUUCCCGGUGUAGAGGUGAAAUUCGUAGAUAUCGGGAGGAACACCGGUGGCGAAGGCGGCGACCUGGGUGGAUACUGACGCUGAGGUGCGAAAGCGUGGGGAGCAAACAGG